rnacentral:rRNA from 1 species
AGAGUUUGAUCAUGGCUCAGGAUUAACGCUAGCGGCAGGCCUAAUACAUGCAAGUCGAACGGUAACAGGUGUAGCAAUACAUGCUGACGAGUGGCGCACGGGUGCGUAACACGUAUGCAACCUACCUAUAACUGGGGAAUAGCCUUCCGAAAGGAAGAUUAACACCGCAUAACAUCAUUCUACGGCAUCGCAGAAUGAUCAAACCUCCGGGGGUUAUAGAUGGGCAUGCGUAACAUUAGCUAGUUGGUGAGGUAACGGCUCACCAAGGCUACGAUGUUUAGGGGGUCUGAGAGGAUGAUCCCCCACACUGGUACUGAGACACGGACCAGACUCCUACGGGAGGCAGCAGUAAGGAAUAUUGGACAAUGGGGGCAACCCUGAUCCAGCCAUGCCGCGUGAAGGAUGAAGGCGCUCUGCGUUGUAAACUUCUUUUGUACGGGAAUAAACCCUUCUACGUGUAGAAGGUUGAAUGUACUGUAAGAAUAAGGAUCGGCUAACUUCGUGCCAGCAGCCGCGGUAAUACGAAGGAUCCAAGCGUUAUCCGGAUUUAUUGGGUUUAAAGGGUGCGUAGGCGGGCUAUUAAGUCAGUGGUGAAAGCCCCAAGCUUAACUUGGGAAUUGCCAUUGAUACUGAUGGUCUUGAGUACACUUGAAGUGGGCGGAAUGUGUCAUGUAGCGGUGAAAUGCUUAGAUAUGACACAGAACACCGAUUGCGAAGGCAGCUCACUAAAUUGUAACUGACGCUGAGGCACGAAAGCGUGGGGAUCAAACAGGAUUAGAUACCCUAGUAGUCC